UACAGAGGGGGCAAGCGUUGUCCGGAUUUAUUGGGCGUAAAGAGCGUGUAGGCGGCCGUACAGGUCAGCUGUGAAAACUCGAGGCUCAACCUCGAGACGUCGGUUGAAACCGUACGGCUAGAGUCCGGAAGAGGAGAGUGGAAUUCCCGGUGUAGCGGUGAAAUGCGCAGAUAUCGGGAAGAACACCCGUGGCGAAGGCGGCUCUCUGGGACGGUACUGACGCUGAGACGCGAAAGCGUGGGGAGCGAACAGG
rnacentral:rRNA from 1 species